rnacentral:sRNA from 1 species
GUGUACUACCCGUACGCGGCGGUUCUGAGCGCACCAUCCACGCCCAGCUGACGACUGCCCGUUACGGCGCGGUAGCG